GAUCAGCCAGGUUGGAGUUUGUGCAGGGUCCACACAGAGCACCAAUGAGGGGCCCGAAGCGGUGCUCUGAAACCUUGCCCGCACCAGCUGCCUGGGGGCUUAGUGCAGAUCCCGAGUCUGCAGGUGGAGGUUGGGGCCCAUGGACUCCUAGGAGAUGUCGUCCUACGAACCCACAGACGCACGACGCAUAACAAGAGGUUAUUCAGACGAGGUAAUGCUUGGACCGAUGUCAUUUAUCUUCACAACAUGGAGCUUCCUGACAUUUCACCCUCAUCCCUUCUUCCUAUGCUAUUGUUAUCCCUUGAAUUAAGAAAGCUGGAUGAAUUGUAUCUGGAGAGGGAACCUCCCCGUGCCUGGAAAAUGCUCUUCCUACAAGGCUGCAGUGUGACCGCUGGGAAGGCCCCUGUGCUGGCCCCGAUGCCUGGGUUUGAGUUACUCCCGGCUCUCAUCCAUUUCCUUACCUGCACAGUGGAAAUCAGCUACUGGCCCCCGGGAGUUGCCUUUAUGAGGCCCCGAAGCCCAGAAGAGGUUCAAUGAAUGCUGAAUGAAUGAAUUCUCAGAUGAGGUAAUUAUGUCAAACAUA